AUUGAACGCUGGCGGCAUGCUUUACACAUGCAAGUCGAACGGUAACAGGCCUUCGGGUGCCGACGAGUGGCGGACGGGUGAGUAAUGCAUCGGAACGUACCCAGAGGUGGGGGAUAACGCAGCGAAAGCUGUGCUAAUACCGCAUGUGAUCUGAGGAUGAAAGCGGGGGACCGAGCAGCAAUGUUUGGCCUCGCGCCUUUGGAGCGGCCGAUGUGGGAUUAGCUAGUGGGGGGGGUAAAGGCCUACCAAGGCGACGAUCCGUAGCUGGUCUGAGGGGACGGCCGGCCCACGUGGGCCUGAAACCCGGCCCGGCCCCCUAGGGAGGGCGCCGGUGGGAAAUUUUGGCAAAGGGGGGCAAGCCUGACCAAGAAAUGCCGGUGGGGGGAAGAAGGCCUUCGGGUGGUAACCGCUUUUGGCAGGAACGAAACGGUGUCCGCUAAUACCGGGCGCUAAUGACGGUACCUGCAGAAUAAGCACCGGCUAACUACGUG
rnacentral:rRNA from 1 species